UACGUAGGGUGCAAGCGUUGUUCGGAAUUACUGGGCGUAAAGGGAGUGUAGGCGGGAUCGUAAGUUAGGAGUUUAAUCCACGGGCUCAACUCGUGGUCUGCUUUUAAUACUGCGGUUCUUGAGUAUGGGAGAGGGCGAUGGAAUUCCAGGUGUAGCGGUGGAAUGCGUAGAUAUCUGGAAGAACACCAGUAGCGAAGGCGGUCGCCUGGCCCAAUACUGACGCUGAGACUCGAAAGCUAGGGGAGCAAACAGGAUUAGAUACCCUGGUAGUCCUAGCCGUAAACGAUGAACACUAGUUGCUGGAGGAGUCAAUCUUUUCGGUGACGAAGCUAACGCAUUAAGUGUUCCGCCUGGGAAGUACGCUCGCAAGAGUGAA
rnacentral:rRNA from 1 species